UACGAAGGGGGCUAGCGUUGCUCGGAAUUACUGGGCGUAAAGCGCACGUAGGCGGCUCUUUAAGUCGGGGGUGAAAUCCUGGAGCUCAACUCCAGAACUGCCUUCGAUACUGAAGAGCUUGAGUCCGGGAGAGGUGAGUGGAACUGCGAGUGUAGAGGUGAAAUUCGUAGAUAUUCGGAGGAACACCAGUGGCGAAGGCGGCUCACUGGCCCGGUACUGACGCUGAGGUGCGAAAGCGUGGGGAGCAAACAGG
rnacentral:rRNA from 1 species